GUGCGCCACGGCGACCUGACCGAACCUGUAGCCCGCCAGGAACGGCUGCACGUUCCGCAGGGACGCGGCGGCGCCGGCGGUGGAGUAGCGCACGUGCCCGAUGGCGGCGGGGCCGGGGAGCGAGGCGAGCCUGGACGGGUCGCCGAACACGUCGGCGACGAGCCCCAGCCCGGUCACCGACUUGAGCUUGCCGUCGCCCCCGGCGGCGACGAUCCCGGCGCCCUCCUCCCCGCGGUGCUGCAGUUUCUGCAGGCCCAGGUAGCAGAGCGAGGAGGCGUCCGGGUGGCCCACGACCCCCACCAGGCCGCACUCCUCGCGCGGGUGGUCGUCGGAUUCGUCGUCCGCCCCGUAGGAGAACGGGGUCACGCGGUCCGGCAGGAGCGCCGCCCCGGCUGGCGGCGAAAGGCGGCGGCGCAGAGCGAGUGGGGACGGAUUGGGGGCGUGCCUGAGCCGCUGCUGGUGGUGGUGGUGGCUGUGGCGCUUGGAGCCGGAGGUGGCGUGGCGGUGAUGGAGGAGGCGCGACGUGGACGGGGCGGUGGCGGCGGCGGCCAUUCCCAUUCUUGGGCGGCUGAUGGGGGGAGGGGAUUGCUGGCGGCGGCGGCGGCGGCGGCGGCGAGGGCUUUGGGGGGAUGCCCCUCCGAGUGCGGGUCAAGGGGCGGGAUUUUAAAGGGGUUUGGUCGGCUCGUGUCCGCCGUAGGAUGCGAUGUACAACCUGAUACUGAGUGGUGGGGACUGAGGUGUCGAGUAUCGAGCACUCGAGAGCGUUGGAGUUGGACCAGUGAAGCAAUCGCGGGUCAAGUGGCGCCGUAUGGUCCAUUUUCUAAUUCAUCCACUUGA
rnacentral:rRNA from 1 species